GCGGGAGUAGCUCAGUUGGUAGAGCGUCACCCUUCCAAGGUGAGGGUCGCCGGUUCGAAUCCGGUCUCCCGCUCCA
rnacentral:tRNA from 1 species